UUAAUUUUUGUGUGUUUUAUUAUUAAAUAAUUAUGUAUUUGAGUAUUUAAUUAAUUUGAUGUUGUAUAUACUUAAUUUUGUUUUUGUGUAAGAUUAACUUUUAUUAAAUUUUUAUAUAAUCAAGUUUAAUUAUCAUCAUAAACUAAAAUAACCUAACUUUACAAAAUUCUAUUCCCUGUAAAAAAAAAUUAUACAAUUAUCACAAUUUUGUUUUACAUCUAAUUAACAUAUUAUCUUGCCAAAACUCAUAAACAUAAUCCUAAUAACCUAAAACAAAA
rnacentral:lncRNA from 1 species